rnacentral:rRNA from 1 species
AACNAAAGUNNGUGNAAACCGCUCAAAGUAAACGGGAAGAGUUGAACUGCAAGCCUGUAAGAUUCAGCUGGUUCGGUUGUUUGGCUGGCAUUGUGGUCCACGCAAAUGGUGGGUUACUGCUCCUUGUGGGUGGUGACGAGUGUGUACUANCAUAGUGCAACUCGCUGCUUUGUUGGUGCUGCCGGGUCAGUGCACUUCUUUCAGGUCUUCAUCACGACCGGCGCUGCUGUCUGUCUGCUGUGGCUAAACCAGUGGGGCUCGGUCCUUGUGGCCUUGUUCUGCUGGGAUGGCAGGUANCUUGUUGGCAUUCGUGCUUUCAGGUGUAAUAACUANCUUCANUGUGAACUGUGC